UACGAAAGAGGCUAGCGUUGUUCGGAAUUACUGGGCGUAAAGGGUGCGCAGGCGGCCCCGCAUGUCAGGCGUGAAAUCCCCGGGCUCAACUUGGGAAUGGCGCUUGAAACUACGGGGCUGGAGUGUGGCAGAGGGAGGUGGAAUUCCACGUGUAGCGGUGAAAUGCGUAGAGAUGUGGAGGAACACCGAUGGCGAAGGCAGCCUCCUGGGCCAACACUGACGCUCAUGCACGAAAGCGUGGGGAGCAAACAGG
rnacentral:rRNA from 1 species